rnacentral:rRNA from 1 species
CCUACGGGUGGCAGCAGUGGGGGAUAUUGCACAAUGGGGGAAACCCUGAUGCAGCGACGCCGCGUGUGGGAAGACGGUCUUCUGGAUUGUAAACCACUGUCCCCAGGGACGAAAAUGACGGUACCUGGGGAGGAAGCUCCGGCUAACUCCGUGCCAGCAGCCGCGGUAAUACGGAGGAUGCGAGCGUUAUCCGGAUUUAUUGGGUUUAACGGGUGCGCAGGCGGCCGGUUAAGUCAGCGGUAAAAGCCAGGGGCUCAACCCCGGCGAGCCGUUGAAACUGGCGGGCUGGAGUUGGAGAGAAGUACGCGGAAUGCGCGGUGUAGCGGUGAAAUGCUUAGAUAUCGCGCAGAACCCCGAUUGCGAAGGCAGCGUACCGGCUCCACACUGACGCUGAGGCACGAAAGCGUGGGUAUCGAACAGGAUUAGAUACCCGAGUAGUC